CCCUUAGAUGUUCUGGGCCGCACGCGCGCUACACUGACGAAUGCAACGAGCUUAUAACCUUGGCCGAAAGGUCUGGGUAAUCUCCAAAUUUCGUCGUGAUGGGGAUAGAUUAUUGCAAUUAUUAAUCUUCAACGAGGAAUGCCUAGUAAGCGCGAGUCAUCAGCUCGUGCUGAUUACGUCCCUGCCCUUUGUACACACCGCCCGUCGCUACUACCGAUUGAAUGAUUUAGUGAGGACUUCGGACUGGGACCGAUGCGGCUUUCGGGCUGCGUCGGUAUUCUGGAAAGAUGUCCAAACUGUAUCAUUUAGAGGAAGUAAAAGUCGUAACA
rnacentral:rRNA from 1 species